rnacentral:rRNA from 1 species
UACGUAGGGUGCAAGCGUUGUUCGGAUUCAUUGGGCGUAAAGGGUGCGUAGGUGGCGCGCUAAGUCAGGUGUGAAAUUUCGGAGCUUAACUCCGAAACUGCAUUUGAUACUGGCGUGCUUGAGGACUGGAGAGGAGACUGGAAUUCAUGGUGUAGCAGUGAAAUGCGUAGAGAUCAUGAGGAAGACCAGUGGCGAAGGCGGGUCUCUGGACAGUUCCUGACACUGAGGCACGAAGGCCAGGGGAGCAAACGGG